CAAUAGAUUAGGCAGAGCUUGGAGGACUUCCACUGGAUCAUAGCUUAACCCGGACCUUCUUAAACAUACACGAACUAGACUUCGAAGUGUGGGAAGCCAUUCCGGCAACUUGCUUAAGCAUCCUUGGAGAUAGAGAUUUCUAAGGUAUCUGGGUGGAACUGAUAUAGUUUCUAACUUCAGAAUAUCAUCAUCCUUUGAACAUAUGCAUAAAGAUUCAAGGUGCUUCAUAUUUGAAAUGGAGGCACAAAGUCUUAGCCCGUCGUCUUCCACAAGGUUUGUAAUGCCCAGCCUUCUCAACUGCCUCAACUUUCCCAGCUCUUCAAUUAGGCCCAUCCCGUGAUUUGCCUCCACAUAACAGAGCUUCUGCAAGUCUAGCAUACUGCCAAUCCCCUCCCCUAUAUGUAUUCCUCUAGUAGUAUAAAAGUCCCAUUCAGGACAGACUUUAUAAGCAUAGGCUAGAAUAUGGCGCAGCUUUCGAAGCUUCUUGAUCUCAACUGGAAGCGCAUCCACAAGGGAAUGUUUGAGAUCCAAAGUUUGUAGGUUCUGUAACUUACCUAUGGACUUUGGAAGCAUCUUGACUUUUGUCCUGCUCAGACUUAAGUACCUCAAGUGGAACAGAUUUCCCAGAUCUUCUGGAACACUAUAUAGAGGAGCUUUUUCAAAAUCCAAUAUUUUCAAAAGAUUAAAGUUGGUAAGGGAUGUACCUGUAAAGAGCAUAGGCACUGCAUCAAUGUCAAAAAGCAAAAUUGAGCGAAUCUGUGGGUUCCUAUUAAUAGCCUCCACAACAUUAUCUGUGCUUUUUUGAACUGAUCCACACCGAAAUUUUCCAUCAAAGCUUGAGUCUUCUUCCCCAAAAGAACGACAAAAACUCAACUCCUCGGCCUUUCUGAGGAUAAUCUCACACAUCAAAUCAUGGACUCUGCAACUUCUAAUUUUCCCUCUAUAAUCCACGUGGGACAAUUGAACCAAGCUUCUAUGAAUCAGUUCAGUCAACUAUUCUUCGGCAACCUGUUCCAAUGUUAUUCCUUUCUUUCCUUUCACAAACCCUUCAGCUAUCCACAGUCGGAUGAGUCUUCCACAAUUAAUGGGGUAGUCCUCUGGAAAAAUGGCAAAGUACAAGAAACAAGACUUGAGGUAGUGAGGCAAGUCAUCAUAACUGAGGGACAGAAUUUUAGUGAUAUUUUCAAGAUGGGGAUUACUUUCUAAUUGGGAACCAAGACUGUCAUUAAAUUUCUGCCAUUCUAACUCAUUCUUCUCUUUGGUUGAUAAAGCACCGCCCAUUGCCACAAUUGCAAGCGGCAAUCCUUCACAUCUUUUAACAAUAUCAAGGGAAAUUUUCUCUAAUUCAGGAGGACAGAAACAACCCUGAAAUGCCUUCUUACAGAAGAGUUCCCAGGAACUUUCGGGAGGUAGAGCUUGAAGAUUGUGGAUAUAAUGAAAUGAAGAUUCUUUAACAGCAGAACCUACUUCAACAUUUCGUGUUGUAAUUACUAUCCUGCUGCCUCUUUUGUUUUCUGGUAAAAUAUAUUUAAUAAAUCUCCAGAACUCUAAUUUCCAAACAUCAUAAAAAACAACGACAUACCUUUUAUCCUCCAAAUACUCCCUAAGUCGAGUAAUAAGAGACAUCUCGUCCAUUGCAUCGGUACCAUCAGGAAUUGACUCUUUCCUUGCUAGAUAGAAUUGCUUUAUCACGUUCCGAAGUACCUCCUCCAUCUUGAAUGACUGAGACACAGUGAUCCAGGCACGGCAAUCGAAGUGUUCCACCAUCCUCUUGUUGUCAUAAACCUUCUUGGCAAGAGUUGUCUUGCCAAGCCCGCCCAUGCCCACCACCGAAAUCACUGUUCGUUCUGGAGCUCCCUCUACCAGCCAUUUUAUCAAUUCACCCUUGUGAGAUUCAAUACCCACAAUUUCGGCAUCUUCGAUGAAAAGAGAUGUCACUCCCGGGUCAUGCCAUGGAACACUUGUACCACUGCAGCUGCCUGAUCCUAGCUCAAAUGAACUAAUAAACCCAUAAGUUGAACUUGCUUCCUUCAGUUUACCCACCUUUAGCUUGAGAUCCUAGACCUUGGAGGCUAUCUCAUGGCGUGGUUUCAGUUUCGGGAGUAGGUGAGAAAUCUUACAGAGGAAACCAAGGACCCCACGACGAUGAGGGGGAUUUGCAAAGUGAAGAAUGUAUUCAUCGACGAGAUCUUCUAUGCAAUAAGUCGUCUCCCUUAGUUCUUGGACCCAAGUUUUAACGCCUUGGCCGGUGUCUCGUUUCUCGGCCUUUGCAUCUGCAUCCUUGAGGAAAGCUUGGAUGUAGAGCAGCUCUGUUUUGAUAUCUUCAACUUGGGUGUGGACACCUCUCAAUAAUCUGGCUUCAUCAGCGAGCAAGGAGAGCAACCUAUCGGUGACUACAGUGACGGCGAUCUCUGCCAUCUCUUCCUCCUAACCUACUUCUGGAAGGCAGACUAAUAAUGAAUGCUGUGAGUUCUUGACCCAAAUCCUCUUGGUCUUUUUUUAACUCACCCACUGGGAAUCUAGUCCAUCGCAUAAUGUUGUUUUAUUAAAUUUUAAUUAUAUAUAUAUAUAUAUUUUGUAUUUUAUAUAAUUAAAUCAAAUAUAAAAAGUACCGCAUUUUCCUAUAAUUAAAAAAAAAAAAUAGUAAUAAUCAACAACUAGAUGACUUUUCCUUUCACAGCCCCUAUUUCUCUCCUUAACCAUACAAGUUGUUUUCCGCACUACUUGUAGCUCAUGAAAGUGAUGAAGCGACUCAGAAUGGUGAUUACAUCGAGAGGAUCUCUAUGUUUUUAUUUAUUUAUUUUUAUAUAUUUUCAAACUUUUAAUUUUUAGUUUUGAAUUUUAAUUGAAUCUAAUUAUUAACUUUGAAAAUUAGUUUGAUUAAUUAAAACAUAUUUGGUCGUAAUUAAAACUAAAAGAAUUAAAUUGUUGCACCAAUAAUUCUGUAAUGUUGGUAGAGAUUUAAUUUUUAUACAUUUAAUAUUUUUAAUUAUAUUUAAUUAAAUCAAUUUAUCUCAAGUUUAACUUUUGAUCUGUAUCUUGUUAUCUUAAUUAUAAAAAUAUGUUUAUUAUAAAUAUAAUUUCUCAUAGCAAUCUUAAAUGAAAAAUAUUUAAAGCUCAUUAUAAUCUAUAAAUAAUAUUAAUAAAAUGAAAUAUUAUUUGUUAACAUUUUCAAUUAAUACAAUUAAAUGGUUCCUUUUUAUGUAGUUGUAUUAUUUUAUUAAAAAUAAAAAAAAGGCUAUAUAAAACUUUAUUAAUGCUUUUUAUUUAAUUCUCUAAAAUGAAAAAUGACUCUAAAUUAGAUUUUUAACUUAUUCGAAGGGAAUUUUUUUUAAAAAAGAAAAAACUACUAGAUCGAAAUGAUAAAAUGUCAAAUACAUUUUUUUUAAAAAGGUCAAUUAGCAAUAGGUCUACAAAUUGGGUGUAUUUAGAUCAAGCCAAUCCGAUUUUAUGAGGUCCUAAACCAUUUUACCACAAAUUUUAUAAAGCAAGGCAUGCUUUUAAUAGAGACCAAAAAAGAAGCAGAUAUUAAUUUAGGUAGGCAAAAGAUGAUGCUUUAACAUGGAUUUGAAAAAUCAAGAAGAGGUAUUUUCCUCUUCUACAAUUAUAGAGACAUGUGAAAAUUUAAAAUAAUUAGAUUCAAUUGAAAACAAAUUAUUGCAAUGCAAUGAAAAAUAAUUAAAUAAGAGAACACUUGUAAAAUAACACCAAUAUGUAUGGUUAGUGGAAGCUUUAGAUUGUCGAUAUUGUUAGGCAUUUUAAAACUUGGACCAAAAAAGGAAAUUGCAAGUGACCAGUGAAUCAAUCAAUUUUAUUAAUAAACAUAUAACAUUUGAUUUGUUUAUUUCCAUAAAUCCAUGAAGAAUACACAUGAAGAAAAUGUCGAAGUAAUUUUAAAAUUAGAAAUUGAAAUUUAUUAUGCACAUAUUCACAUAUGCAUAACUAUUGGAUAUGGAGGUAUCCUAAUAGCUUUUUAACUAAAAGUUAAGAAUUAAUAUAUUUUAUAUCUCUAUUAUUAAUGUUUUUUUUAUUGGUUUGCAUUUUUCUUUUUUGUUUGUGUCAACUUUUUCAAUAGUUUGUUGUCUUAUUUGGUCAUUUUCAAUUUUUGUUUCAAAUGAUGUUAAUGUCUCUCCUACCCCUCCUGAGGUAAAAGAAAAUAAAAUUGAGAAAGUUUUGUUUCAUUUUUAUUAGAAUUUUAUUUUUCUCAUUUAAAGUUUGAAUUUUGUUGAUUAAAAAUUUUAUUAUUUGGAUUAUUUGAUGAAUUUUUUAUUUCUUAUUUUGUAGUUAAGGUUAUGAUUCUUACAAGAGGUUUCCCAAAUUUAAAAAAUCAGUGGAAAAAUGGAAUUGUUGUUUUGAUUUGUUGUAUAAAGUUUCUAUAUUGUUUACGUAAAAUAUUUAUAACUUAAAGUUUAAGAGUUAUGAAAUAAUUUCUUUUUGUAUCAUUGUAAGGGGAGAAAAAAAUUGUAUUUAAUCCAUAGAGUAUCAUGAACAAAAUGAGGAGAUUAUCUAUAAAUAUAAUGUUUUUUAAUAGUAUUUAUGGAGAAAGUAUGAUUAUCAGAAUGAGUAGAAGAUAUUGACAAAGACUCUUGUUUAAAAUAAGAACUUUUGGAGUAAAGUUUGAAAUAUUUGACAAAUUAUAUAAUUGGUUUUCAAUUUGAAUCAUUUCGAAGUGGAAUUUUAGAUUAUUAAUAUUUGUUUGAUUAAAUAUGAUUCUAAUUUUUUAUAAACAAAAUUAUGUUGAUUAAAUGACACAACUAAUGAAUCUACAGCAUAUGAAAAAUUGUCUAGAUUACAUGUGUAAUUGUUUAAAUUAUUUGUAGAAAUAUCUAUCCUAAGAGACUUGGAUGAAUUAGCUCCAUUUAAUUACUUUAUAAUAUUACUCAUUGUGACAAAAAAUAAUCACAAUCUAAUCCUUUGAAUAUUUAAUUUGUUUAUUUCCAUAAAAAUUGAAAUUUUUUAUGCACAUAUUCACAUAUGCAUGACUAUUGGGUAUGGAGGUAUCCUCAUAGUUUUUUUAAUUGAAAGUUAAGUGUUAAUGUAUUUUUUAUCUUUAUUAUUAAUGAUCUUGUAUAUAUUGGUUUGCCCUUUUUGUUUUGUGUCGACUUCUUCAAUAGUUUGUUGUCUUAUUUGGUUAUUUUCAAUUUUUGUUUCUAAUGAUGUGAUGUCUCUCCUACCUCUCCCAAGUAGUAGAAAACAAAAUUUGAGAAAAUUUUACUUCAUUUUUAUUAACAUUUGAUUUAUCUUGUUUAAAGUUUGAAUUUUAUUGAUUAAAAAGUUUUUUAUUUAGAUUAUUUGGUCAACUUUUUAUUCCUUAUUUUGUAUUUAAGGUUACGAUUCUUUUCACAGGUUUUCUAAAUUUGAAAAACUAAUAGAAAAACGAAAUUGUCAUUUUAAUUUGUUGUAUAAAGUUUUUAUAUUAUUUACUCAAAGCAUUUCUGACUUGAGGUUUAAAAGUUUUAAAAUAAUUUCUUUUAAGAGGUUUAAGAUAUUAUUUACUCAAUCCAUGAAGUAUCAUGAACAAAAGGAGGAGAUUUUCUAUAAUUAAAACAUUUUUAACGGUACUUGUAUAGAAAGUGUGAUUAUUAAAAUGAGUAAAAGAUAUUGACAAAGACGCUUAUUCAAAAAUGGGAACUUUUGGAGUAAAGUUUGAAAUAUUGUACAAACUAUAUAAUUGGUUGUCAAUUUCAAUCAUUUCUAAGUUGAAUUUUAACUUAUUAAUACUUGUUUGAUUAGAUGAUGAAUCUAAUUUUUUACUAACAAAAUCAUGUCAACUAAAUGAUGUAGGUAAUGAAUCUACAAUAUAUGAAGAAUUAUCUAGAUUACAUGAGUAAUUAUCUAAAUUUUAUGUAGAACUAUCUAUCCUAAGAGAUUUGGAUAAACUAGCUCCCUUUAAUUCCUUUAUGAUAUUACUCAAUGUGAAAAAAAUAAUCACAAUCUAAUCCUUUGAACAUUUGAUUUGUUUAUUUCCAUAAAUCAAUGAAAAAUCUACACAAUGAAAAUGUCAAAGUAAUUUUAAAAUUGCAAAUUGAAAUUUUUAUGCACAAAUUCACAUAAACUUCACUAUUAGGCAUGGAGGUAACGUCAUAGAUUUAUAUAUAUAUAUAUAUAUAUAUAUCUAAAAGUCAAGUGUUAAGGUAUUUUCUAUAGUGUUAAUGUAUUUUCUAUCUCUAUUUUUAAUGAUUUUUUUUAUUGGUUUGUCUUUUUCCUUUUUGUUUGUGACAACCUUUUCAAUAAUUUGUUGUCUUGUUUGGUUAUUUUCAACUUUUGUUUCUAAUGAUGUUGAUGUCUCUCCUACCUCUCCUAGAAGAAAAUAAAUUUUGAGAAAAUUUAGUUUCAUUUUUAUUAGAAUUUGAUUUUACUAGAUUAAGGUUUGAAUUUUGUUGAUUAUAAAGUUUAUUAUUUGAAUUAUUUGGUGAAUUUUUUAUUCCUUAUUCUGUAGUCAAGGUAUGAUUCUUUCAAGAGGUUUCUUAAAUUCGAAAAACUAGUGGAAAAAUUGAAUUAUUAUUUUAAUUUGUUGUACAAAGUUUUCACAUUGUUUAUGUAAAGCAUUUCCAACUUGAGGUUUAAGAGUUUUGAAAUAAUUUCUUUUUGCAUAAUUGUAAGGGGAGAAAAUAUCUUAUUCAAUCCAUGUUGUAUCAAAAAGAAAAGGAGAAGAAUUUCUAUAUAAUUAUAAUGUUUUUAAUAGUAUUUAUAGAGAAAGAAUGACUAUUAGAAUGAGUAAAAGAUAUUGACAAAAACUCUUGUUUAAAAAAUAGGAACUUUUGGAGUAAAGUUUGAAAUGUAUCUGAAAAAAAAUUCUACUUGGUUUUCAUUUUGAAUAAUUUCUAAGUUGAAUUUUCAAUUAUUAAUAUUUGUUUGAUUAGACGAUGAAUCUAAUUUUUGACAAACAAAAUUAUGUUGACUAAAUUGUACAACUAAUGAAUCUACAAUAUAUGAAAAACUAUCUAGAUUACAUGAAUAAAUGUUUAAAUUAUAUGCAAAACUAUAUAUCUUAAGAGAUGUGGAUGAAUUAGCUCAAUUUAUUACAAACAAAAUUAUGUUGACUAAAUUGUAUAGCUAAUGAAUCUACGGUAUAUGAAAGACUAUCUAGAUUACUGAAUAGAUGUCUAAAUUAUAUGCAAAACUAUAUAUCUUAAGAGAUGUGGAUGAAUUAGCUCAAUUUAAUACAAACAAAAUUAUGUUUACUAAAUUGUAUAGCUAAUGAAUCUACAAUAUAUGAAAGACUAUCUAGAUUACAUGAAUAAAUGUCUAAAUUAUAUGCGGCACUAUCAAUCCUAAGAGAUUUGGAUGAACUAGUUCAAUUUAAUACAUUAUAAUAUUACUCACUGUGAUAGAAAACAAUCACAAUCUAAUCGUUUGAACAUUUGAUUUGUUUAUUUCCAUAAAUCCAUGAAAAAUCCAUAUGAAGAAAAUGUCAAAGGAAUUUUAAAUUUUGAAAUUGAAUUUUUUUAUGCAUAUAUUCACAUUUGCAUAACUAUUAGGUAUGGAGGUACCCUCAUAGUUUUUUAGUUGAAACUUAAGUGUUAAUGUAUUUUUUUAUCUCUAUUAUUAAUGAUUUUGUUUUUAUUGGUUUGUCAUUUUCUUAUUUGUUUGUGUGAACUUUUCAGUAGUUGUGUUGUUUGGUUAUUUUCAAUUUUUGUUUCUAAUUAUGUUGAUGUCUCUCCUACCUCUCUCGAGAUAGAAGAAAAUAAAAUUUGAAAAAAUUUUGUUUUAUUUUUAUUAGAAUUUGAUUUUUCUUGUUUAAGGUUUGAAUUUUGUUGAUUAAAAAGUUCGUUAUUUGAACUAUUUGGCAAUUUUUUAUUCCUUAUUCUAUCAUUAAGGUUAUGAUUCUUUUAAGAAGUUUCCUAAAUUUGAAAAAACUGCAGAAAAAUAGAAUUGUCAUUUUGAUUUGUUGUAUAAAGUUUUCAUAUUAUUUAUGUAAAGGAUUUAUAACUUGAGGUUUAAGAGUUUUAAAAUAAUUUCUUUUUGUAACACUAUAAGGGCAGAAAAAAAAUCUUAUUUAAUCCAUGUAAUUUCACAAAUCUAAUUUUAAAUUAUUAACAUUUAUUUGAUUAGAUGAUGAAUCUAAUUUUUGAUUGAAAAAAUUAUGUUGACUAAAUGAUCAACUAAUUAAUCUAUAGUAUAUGAAGAAUAAUCUAGAUUACAUGAGUAAUUGUUUAAAUUAUAUGCAAACUAUCUAUCCUAAGAGAUCUGAAUGAACUAGCUCUAUUUAAUUCCUUUAUAAUGUUAUUCAUUGUGAUAGAAAAUAAUCACAAUCUAAUCCUUUGAAUAUUUGAUUUGUUCAUUUUCAUAAAUACAUGAAAAAUCCAUAUGACGAAAAUGUCAAAGUAAUUUUAAAAUGGCAAUUGAAAAUUUUUAUGCACAUAUUCACAUAUGCAUAACUAUUUGGGUAUGGAGGUAUCUUCAUAGUUUUUUUUUAACUAAAAGUUAAGUGUUAAUGUAUUUUAUAUCUCUAUUAUUAAUAUUUUUUUUAUUUAUUUGUUUGUCUUUUUCUUUUUUGUUUGUGUCAACUUGUUCAAUAGUUUGUUGUUUUGAAUGGUUAUUUUAAAUUUUUGUUUCUAAUGAUAUUGAUGUCCCUCCUACCUCUCUUUCGGGGUAGAAGAAAACAAAAUUUAAGGAAAAUUUAUUUCAUUUUUAUUAGAAUUUGAUUUUUCUUGUUUAAGGUUUGAAUUUUAUUGAUUAGAAAGUUUAUCAUUCGGAUUAUUUGGUGAAUUUUUUAUUGCUUGUUCUUUAGUUAAGGUUAUAAUUCUUUUAAGAGGUUUCCAAAAUUUGAAAAACCAGUAGAAAAACAAAAUUGUCAUUUUGGUUUGUUGUAUAAAGUUUUCAUAUUGUUUACUUAAAACAUUUUUAACUUCAAGUUUAAGAGUUUUGAAAAAAAUUUCCUUUUGCAUGAUUGUAAGGGAAAAAAAAAAAUCUAAUUCAAUCCUUGUAGUAUCACGAAGAAAAUGAGAUUUUUUUUAUAAUUAUGACGUUUUUUAAUAGUAUUUGUAUAGAAAGUAUGACUAUCAAACUCUUGUUUAAAAAUAAGAACUUUUAGAUUAAUGUUUGAAAUGUUUGACAAAUUAUAAAAUUGGUUGUUUUGAAUCAUUUCUAAGUUGAAUUUUAAAUUAUUAAUAUUUGUUUGAUUAGAAGAUGAAUCUAAUUUUAGAUUAAUAAAAUUAUGUUAACUAAAUGAUGUAGCCAAUGAAUCUAUAGUAUAUGAAGAUCUAUCUAGACUACACGAAUAAUUGUCUAAAUUAUAUGCAGUACUAUCUAUCCUAAAAGAUCUAAAUGAACUAGUUUCAUUUAAUUUUUUUAUAAUAUUAUUCAUGGUGACAGAAAAUAAAUCACAAUCUAAUCGUUUGAACAUUUGAUUUGUUUAUUUUCAUAAAUACAUGAAAAAUCCACUUGAGGAAAAUGUCAAAGUAAUUUUAAAAUUGGAAAUUGAAUUUUUUAUGCACAUAUUCACAUAUGCAUGACUAUUAGGUAUGGAGGUAUUUUCAUAGUUUUUUUUUAACUAAAAGUUAAGUGUUAAUGUAUUUUCUAUCUCUAUUAUUAAUGAUUUUGUAUUUAUUGCUUUGUUUUUUUCCUUUUUGUUUGUGUCAACUUGUUCAAUAUUUUGUUGUCUUGUUUGGUUAUUUUUAAUUUUUGUUUCUAAUGAUGUUGAUAUCUCUCCUACCUCUCUCGAGUUAGAAGAAAAUUCUAAUAACCAAACAUAGGUUGAAAAAUCAAAAUUUUCUUUUAUCCUUUACAUUAUUCUUGAUUAUAUUGAAAUUCAAAAAACAAAAAACAAAAAGUCUAAGAUUGCGAUAUACACAUUAAAGAAUGUCACAUAUGCCUUUCUUAGAGUUAUAUCUAUAAAAUAUAAAUAUAACGCUUAAAAGAAAUGUUUGUAGAUGUUAUCGUUGAAAAAAGUUUAUUCUUUUUUUUUUUUUUGUAAGCUAAGAGUGUCUAUUUAACUAUAUUAGAUGAUAUAUGUAACUUUUUAGUAGUAUUUUCUUUUAGAAAGACAAAAUAAGGUGAUAGAUUCUUUUACUUCUACCGCUUAUGCAUUAAGCAUAGACCGGGCUUUAAAAUAGCCUAAUAUAUUACAAAAACAAAUAACCUAAUACUUUAACAACAUUAAGUACUAUUUAGUUUUAAAUUAUAUUUAAAAUAAAGUAAAAAAAUAAAAAAUAAACACCACCUAAAUCUUUAUCUUUUUUUACCUACUUCAUUCACAAUUUUCCCUUUUUUGAAAUGGAGGGAAAUUUGGAUUUUUAAAAAAUAGGGGCCACAUGGGGGUUUGGAAUAUAUGGUAGAUGUAAGACAAUGAGCUUUGAGUCCGAACACAAAAGUAAAAGUCCAAAAUAAUUUAGUAAAACUCUUAUAAAAUAAUAAUCUUGGUCUACCCUUAUAAAAUAAUACUCUUAGGAUUAAAAAAAUUAUUAUCUUAGCGAGGUUAUGUUUCUACAAUAGUACUUACAUAUGAAAAUAAUUUUAAUAGGAGUAGUGAUGUAUGCAUGGCAAAAAAUUAAGGCACACAAAAAAUAUAGGGGUAGUGUAUAUAUGCAUUGUAAAAAAUUAAUGAUGAAGUUGAGUUUAGUUUAUGCACAAAGAAAAGAUAGACAAUUUUAGAGAAAUAUUUGAAAAUUAGUUUAAUUGAGAAAAUAUAAAUUAUAAAAAAAUAUUAAUACUGUGGUUUGAAUGUUUGCUUAUUAAUUUUUUAUAUACUCCAUUAGUUACUAGUUUAUAUUUUUUAGUGUUAUUAAUAAUUUUUUUUUUUAAAUAUUAUUAUUUUAUGCAUUUAGUGAGGUUAUUAGUUUAGAAUACCAACCUGAGUUAAGACCAUAAGAUUUUAUUAUUUAAAUGAAGUUAUUAAUUUAUUUAAUAUUUAUUUACUAAAGUUUUACAAUAAUCAUAUCUUUGAAAAGAAAUAUGGAAGAGAUUUUGGGUUUAUUUGGUAACCGCUUUUUAAAACAAUUCUGAAAAAUAGUUUUUGAGAAUAGUUUUUACAAAUUAUUCUUUGAUUUUAUAGAACAAAAGUCAAUUUGAAAACCUAAAAUAUUUUUAACUUAUUAUUAAUAUUUUUAAAUAUAUUUUAAAAAUAAUUUUUAUAUCUGGUGUUUUAUUUUUAAUUAUUCUACAUAUAUAUAAAAUUAUUUCUUUAAACAACUCUCAAAAAACAAGUAACUAGAAACACCGUGUUUUUUGUUCUUAAGAACAGAAAACAGAAAACCAUUUUUGGUUAUCAAACGUGUUUAUUCUGAAAAAUAGUUCCCAAAUAGAUCCUUCUUCAUUGGAAGUAAAAAAAAGGCAAGAGUUUGAAAUUUUGAAAAUUAGUAAUGAUAUUGAAAGAAAUUAAGUUGGGAGAUGCGUUAUGAAAGGAGACCCACACUCUCCAAUUAACCCUUUUACACAUUCAAGAUUUGAGAGACACACAUGGAAAUUCUGGAGAAGAAAAAUUUUAGAAGGAAGUUUGUUCAUCAUCCAUGAAUGGAUGGAUAGAGGCGGAUCGGGAUUAGGAAGCCGAAUAUUCUUUUAUUGUAAUUUAAUUUGAUAAUUAUGCAUAAAUAAUUCUAUUGAUUGUAAAUGAUUUAUUUAUAAAUUUGAUUCAUUUAAAAAUAAAAUUUUCUUUGUUUGAUAUUAAGUUUUUGUAUGAUUAUAAGAUUUUGUUUGAAUAUUUAGAUUUGAUUGAAAAUUUGUGUUUGAUAUAUAAAUUUGUUUUGCUACAUUUUGGUAGAAAAUUAUAAGUGAAUCAAUAUUUCAUAAAAUAAUUUAUUUUAGAAAAAUAUUUUUAAAAACUAAACCUUGUAUUAAUUAAUUAUUUGUAAUAUAAAAAUUGAUUUUUAAAAACUAAUUUUAAAAGAAAUAAAUUGACUUUAGGUGAUAAUUAAUCAAAUUUAUUUAUUUAUUGGACUCUUUUUAAUUUAUCUUCUUUGUAAAUAAUUUAAUUUAUAAAUUCAUAAAACAUAUUGAAUAAAUGUAAAUAUUUUUUCCUCUCUAUAAAUUGUGUAAAUUGUUUUGUAUCAUUUUGUGUGAGAAUAUUGAAUAGGUAAAAAAUACAAUAAAAUAAUUUAAUAAUGAUAAAAUAUUUUUUUUCAUAAAAAAAUCUUCAUACUUAUUCUUUUAUGUGAUGAAAAUUAAUAUUCAUAAAAUUCAAUUUAUUUAUUUAUUUUAUUUGUAAAAGACGUAAUUUUGGUAAAUAAUUUUACUUUCAAAAUCCACACAAUAUUUUGUAUUAUUUAAAACAAACUUUAUUUAUUUAUUUAUUCUUGUAAUAAAUUGUGUAUUUGAUUUUAGAAUUAUUUUCUGACAAUUUAUAUAAAGAUUUCAAAUGGAUCAUUAAGUAAUAAAUAAUUUGAGUCAAUAAAAUACUUUUGAACAUUAAAUUAUUAGAUUCAUUAAAAUUGAUUCUUUAUUAUUUGUUUUAAAAUAUAAAAUUCUCCUAGUUAAUAAUUGAUCAAAUUCCUUUUCUCUAAGUUAUUGAACAUAAAAAUAAAAGUAAUAAAUUUGGAAUCAAGAUAACAUAACAAUUAGCUUAGCAAGUAUGGGUAUAAUAGAAAUGAUAGUUAAUGUCAUAUAUUAAGGUUUGAAAUCAUGGUUUAACAUAAAAAUCUAAGCUUAAUCUACCAUUUCUGCCCUUGAUGUGUGAAUUAAGAAGAAAAAAAAGGGGAAUAUAUGAAAAACAAGAAAUUUCAUAUUUUGGGUGGGGGCCUAAGUUUUAAGUGCCCUAAAUCUUCUUGAUGCAAGUUCCUUAAGUGAGCCAACUUGCCUAGAGCACCUUUAUUUUAACUACCUUGAGACACCCUUUUUCUAGUGCACCUCUAGCACAUCUUUCUUUUAACUUUUGUCCCUUGUUCUUUAGCAUGUUAAGUUCAGCAUAUGUACGUUCCUAAGUGUUUCACCUUAUGUACACCCAACGUUAGGUUCAUAGUUUUCAGUAGUACUCUAGUACUCUAAUUAAGUGCAUCCCAACACACUUAUAUUCUCAACAUUAUAUUUAUAUUGUAAACAUUUGAGUAAAUGUCAUCAUUUAUUAUUAUUUUUAUUUAUUUAUUCCUUUACUUUUAAGCAAAUGUCAUCAUAAAUUAUUUUUAAAUUUACGAUGUGAGUAAAGGAAUAUCCCCAUUUGAAUUCAAUAAAAAUGUUUUAAAAAAAGUUCCAAGUAAAUCAAAAUCUAAAUUUUCCAAUUUUAAUUAUAAAAUGACAUAUUUUAUUGAAAAAUCCAUGAAAAGAGUUUGGUAAAAAAAAGUAAUCAAACAUGGAAAUCUUGAAAAAUUAUUUUCGGUCCUACCAUUAUGAAAACAAUGAAAUCCUCUCUAAUUAGGAAAAUUUUAAAAUUGAUCAACUUCCCAUGAUUAGUAAAAAUUUCAAUACAACUAAGUAUACAAGAGGGACUUGAAGUUUUCCGACCUAAAGUACUUCGUCUCAACAUCUAAAUGAGAAAAUUUAACCAUAAACAUUACAAUUUCUUUCUUAAUUUACACCUUAAAUUCUAAAAUUAAGGGUUAAACCUUGAUGAUAUCUUAAAAUAGUUUAGAACUUAGAGGCAUGAAAGUUAGUUUCAAGGUACAAUGAAUAGAAUUUGCACGUUUUUAGUGUAAUUACACUCAAAGUAUAUUAAAGACUCAAAUUUUAUAUAAUAGGAUGAUUUCCAAGUGGUAGCAUGUCCAUAAGUCAAGUUCAAGAGUCUUUUAAGCGAGACUUUUACUCAAUAUAUAUGAACAUUACACACAUUUUCCCAUUAGGGUCAAUAGUGUAACUAACCAUUAUGUAUUAAUUGCACUAUAGGUGGUUGUUGGAAUGUUGCAGGUUAACCAGUUACCAUACCUAUCAACCUAUAUUUCGAUUGAUAUAGGAUCAACUCAACUAGUUGAGAGACCAAUAACCAUUGCUGACUAGCCCUCUUUACUUGCUAAUCAACUGGUUGACCACUUUGGUUAACCAAUCAGUCACUUGGGCCAACCAUUGAUCAACUACAUAAGAAAUAUACAAAAUUAUUCUAUAAGUGACUUUUAUAAGGUUAGGUUAGUUCGAUUUAAAAACUUAAGAUUGAAAAACCCUUUUCAUUGACAAAAAUCCAUGUUAAAACAUGGAUUUUCAUCACUAAAUGAAUCAACCUCAUUUUCAUAAAAAUUUUUAAUAAUGCAUAAAUAAGUUCUUUUAAAAAGUCUUUUAAAGAGUUUAUUUUGUUUUUAAAAAAAUAUCAAACAAAAACUACUAAAGGAAAAAGAGCAAUUCAAAUUAUUUUAUGGAUGGCAAGAUAAAUUAUUUACAACCAAAAUUAUACCUAUAUAGAUGAAUUUAUUUUUUUGUAAUUCAAUUUUUUUUUCAAGAAAAUGAGUUGUUACAUACAAAAAAAAUAAUAACUUAAAAUUUCAUGAUUGAAAUUUUCAAAUUUAAAAAAUUAUUUUAUUAUAUAUUAAUUCGUUUUAAAAUAUUACCUAAAAUAUCAUAUUACAAUCUAAGUAUUACACCAUUAUUUAUGUAAAAAAAUCAAUUUAGAUAAUUCAUAACAUUAGAAAUCUUGACGGGCUCCUCGAAAUUUCUUCACUCUUCAAUAUCUCCAAAGUCUCCUUCUGAAUUGUGGUCUCCUAAAAGUAUUUUCUAUGAAAUUUUCUUCCCAAAUUUUUCUCUCAAAAACUCUUCUUUAAAAAAAAAAUCCAAUUUUUUCUCUCCCAAUCCUCCUAUCUUUCCCCUUCCAAGGAAUCAACACCCAUGAAAGAAAAAAGAAAAAAAAAAAAACAGAAAGUCGCUUCUGUUUGUCCUCUUCCUCUAGCUCUACUCAUGUGAAAAUGAUCCCAAAAAGUCUUCAAUCUUCCAUUUUGUUCUUUCCCUUACUUUUCUUCUUGAUCACUUCUUCCAAUGAUUUUAAACUUAAUUCAAAUCCCCUUCCUUUUUAUUCACCAAUGCCAUGCAAUGCUUCCCAUUCUCCUCCCUCCCUCAAAAUCUCUUUUCUUCAAAGUUUCCAUCUCUUAAUAGUCAUGCGCUCUUUCAUCGCCUUCAAAAUUUUCUGUCUAAAAAUUCCAUGGGUUACUUCUUUAACCAAUUGUCAAAUUUUCAAAAUCUCUCUCUUAAAAUCUUAAAACUCUCAUUUUUCCUCCACCAACAAAUGAAUUUUCAAAAUUUUAUAUAAUAUUCUUUUAAAAUUUUCAAAAUUUUUCUUAAUAUUCUCUUUUUUUCCCUUCAAAAGAAAAAGUUCUUUCACAAAAUCAAUUUCUUUUCUGUCUGACAACAAAGAUAUUAUUCCUUUUAUUUUCAUUUUUUUUUUAAGAAAAACAAAUAGACAAAGGCAAAUUUUAGGGUCUACAUAUGUACUAAUAGUCAUAAAAUUAUAAUCUUACAAUGUAUUGUAUUGGAUAAAUAAAUUGAUCACACCUUCUUACCAUGUUUUACAUGCACCAAGUAAUAAUAGCUAUUAUUAGGCUAGAAUUGUUAUAGAUAUUUUAAGGCUAUAUAUUUAAAUUUAUGAUUAAUUUUUUAAAAAAAAUAAUUUUUUUCUCUUGCUUAUUACCUUCUAAAUGAAAUUGCCCUUUAUUGUAAUAACCUGGAAACAUGUGGAGCCAUAAAUACCACAAUAUAUUAAAAGAAAUACCAAGUGGUGGGUUGAAAAAGGAAAAAAGGUUUCUUUGGUGUUAGUUCCCACUUCUGUGCUCAUUGCACAGAAUAUAAAGCUCAGAGAAUGCUUCAAAUCUAAAUUGUGAGAAGGUUACUUACGUACCGUUUCUUUUAGUUCUCACAAUCAUCCCAAUAUUUUGAUGAUUUCAAAUCUAUGUUGGGAAUAGUCCAACUUCUAAACCGUGUAGAGUGCAGAGCUCACUAACCUUCUUUUACAUCUUCAAUCUAUGCUUCAAGAAGGUACUAAUGUGAUUUAAGUGGUUUUUUUUUUUUUUUGUUGAAUAGAAAAAACUAAAAUAUUUGACUUUUUCUAUUAAUCUAAAAAUACAUUAUUGAUAUCAACCAAUAUAACUGAAGUGAACUUAUUAUCAAUAAUAAGUUUAGUUUAGAUAUAUUGGUUAAUAUCAAUGAGUUACUUUUAACUGAAUUAAAAAAGUAAAAUAUUUUGACUUUUUCUAUUUAGUUAAAAAACAAACACCACUUCACUUUAUUACUUAUUAUACUCAUUUCAAUCUUUUGAUGGUCUUUAACUCUCAUAUUCGCUCCAUGUGAGAAAAUGUCUUUAUAACCAAACACCUUUCUUGGAAAAAUGAAAAGAAUAGAGUGUGUAACUCUCUUAUAUAUCAUUUGUUUUUUUUUUUUCUUUUUUUGUUUCUUUUUUUUUUUUUUUUUUUUGAAUUUCAUGCUAAUAGAAGCUCUAUUUUGGUCUUGCCAUUUUCACGUACUCUUCAGUGAUUUUUGUACGUACGUGUUUUGCAUGUGCGCAAGUAUAAUAUGAUGAUGAGGGGUGCAAUUUGACCCUAGUUGGCCUUGUCUACCUAAUGAACUUAAGAUUUUAAAAAGUAUAUAUUUAAAAUAAAAUAAAAAAAUUUGUUUGGAACAACAUCAAGCAAACGAGAUGCAGAAAGAUAAUACAUUGUUCCCAUGAAAAAAGAUUGAUGACAUAUAAAAACGUUUUCUUAAGGUCAGAAGUAAGAAAAUUAGAGACACUGAAGAUAUGAAUUAGGAGGAUAACCAUGUUGACUUCGGGACCACAGACCGAAAAUCAUCAAAAUGUGAGUGAGCCCUACACUCUGCAUGGUUCUGGAGUUGGCAGUUUGAUUUUUGAUCUUGUUGGCUAGUCAAUCAUUCUCAGACAAAAGACAAGGUUUGUGCACAGUGGAGUUCAAGAUCUCAUCCAUCAAUGUAUGAUUUCCUUCCCUGGGGAUCGAGAAGGCAAGACACGUAUGACAAUCCGACAGAAGGAUUUCUUUAUCAUUUGGGUGACCCAGAAACAUGAAGUUUAAUUAAUCUCUGCAUUCUUAUGAUAAAAAUGAUGUUUGCAUAUUUGUCUAGUAUUAGAGCCGUAGUGUUGUUCUCAUUGGUAUGAUUCCUAUUAGAAAAUCUUUCUUUUUUUUUAAUUAUUUUAUAAAUAAUAAAAUAAAAAUAUGCUUGUUUUUGUGCAACAUUAACAUCCAUGAUUCCAUAGCAAGUGUAUUUCUUUUUGGCUGAUUUUUGGAUAUGUUGUAAUUCUUUAACUUAAUUAAGUCUAAAUUUAAAAAUUUUAUUGAAUAAUAUACAAUACAAUAUUGUUUGGGAGAAAAGCAAAACCUUGUGUUGAUACUCCAAUCUCUCCACAGAUAUUUUUAAUUUUUGAGUUUGAAUCCAUAAGAUGUAAAUGACUGGAAUUCUCAUUUCAAAAGAGUAAAGAUAGCAAAUAAGAGCAUUAACAGAAUUCUACGCAACAUGGUUGAGACCUCUAAAGAUUGAUCGCAUAAACUUUCCUCUGCAUUACGAGCAUUUCUUCUAGCAUGUGGAUUGUUAUAAAUUAAUUUUUUUUUAAAUAAUUUUUUUUUAAUGAGUAAUAUAACAAGAUAAGAAUUAAUUUUUAAUAAAAAGAUUAAUACAAACUAAAUAUUAGAAUUAUGUUUGAUUAAAUGAUUUUGAUAAAUAAAUAAAAAUGAUGAUGAAAAAAUCAAAAGAUACGUUUUUUUAUAUUUACUAAGUAUUUACUUGUAUAAGAUUUUUUUUUUCUUUUAUGUUACUCUAUAACUUAUAUUUAUUAAUUUUGAUUAUAUAUUACUAAAAAAUUAUAUUAGAUGGGUUGAAAAAAAUAGAAGGAAAGAAAAUAGUAAAUAAAACAUUUAGGUAGUAGUCCAAAAUAAAUUUAAAUUAUUAACAAAUACAGUUUUGGAAACUUUCCUUAUUUCUUUUUAAGGAAAAUAUUUUAUAAUUUUUCAUAACAAUCUUUAUUAUUUUUCUGUGCAUCAUUUUCAUUAUUUUCAAAUAGAGCAUAAUUAUUUUCUUUAAUUUUUUUUUUCUUUUUCCUAGAAUUUUCUAAAACUUAACAGAAUAGUUUUCAUUAAAGAAAAAAAAAUUGUGAUGAAGGAAAUUAAUAAUUCACUAGAUUUAUUAUUAUUUUCCUAUUUAUGAGAUAUUUUAGGUAAAAUUAAAUUAUGCUUAAUCAUAAAUCUAUAUAUAAUUUAUUUAUUAUUUAUCAUUAAGUUAAUUAGAUAAAAAAAAAACAAAAACAAAAAACAUAGUAACAAAAGUGCUGGAUUUAUGAGAAGUAUAUUGAAUAUUUUUGAGAAUUUCUAGAUUUUUUGGGCCAUCUCUGGCCCACUUUACCAUUUAGUGGUGAAACUUCUUGGGCCCUAAGAAGCAGUUCACGACCCAGUCCUGUUGAGAAACAGCCUCCCUAAAAGCUGCACCAUCCCAGGCCCAACUAAUGCUGGCCAUUCCAGUCCUUGCUCUAUUUGCACUAAAUAUACCAGUAUUUUUCUUUGCAAAUCCGAUGUGGGAUUGCCUCUUGAAGAGUUGAAAACACAAAAAAGCUUCAAGAUCAAGGUUUAAACUUGGGUCUUUGGUGUGAAACAAAUUGGCCCUCACUAAUCAGACCAAAUGUAAUUUAAUAUAUAUAUAUAUAUAUAUAUAUAUAUAUAUAUAUAUAUAUAUAUAUUAUAAGUUGAAAAUUAAUUAAAAUAAAUUUUUUUAUAAAUAAGUUAAUUUUAAUUAUAUUAGUAUGUAUUUUAUAUAAUAAAUUAAAUACAAGAUAAAUAUAAAUUUAUAAAUAAAGUUUUCAAUAUUUCUAAAUAAAAAAUAUUAAAUACAUUCUUAUUUUAAAAUUAAUGUGUUUUCAAACUCGAUAGAUUCAUCAUGCAUGUAUUAAUUUCUUCCUUACAACAAUUGUAAUGUAUAUAUUAAUUUUUUUAUCCUUUUUUGAAAUUAAUUAAUUUUCGUCAAUUGAAAUUUUUUGUUCAAAUAUUUAUUAAUAUUUUUCUGUAUAUCCUGAUAUAUUUAUAAAAUCAAAUUACCAAUAUAUCUAUAAAAAUCGAUAUUUUCAUCGUUGUGCACAACCAUAAACACAUAAAAAUGACCACAUAUAGGUUACCAUAGUUCAACCCUAAAAAGAAGUUUCUCAAAAGGCUUCAUCCCCAUCUACUGAAGCACCCCUAUUCCCUCUAGAGAACACAUCACCACAGGAGUCAUGCUUUUAAUAGUCAACUCCCAAAUAUAUUGAAAAACCCAAUAUCACUAUAAGAAAAGAAAAUGCAAACAAUAAUACCUUUUACUUCCUAAAGUGUCAUCUCUAUCCUAUCAUUGUAUAUCUUAGUCAAUAAUGACGAUUUAGCAAGUGUCAUCUUUAGUUAAUGCUUUCAAUGAUGCUUUAAGAAGCAUCAUCUUUGAAUGAUGUUAACAAUGAUAACUAAUUGAACAUUUUUUUUUUAUUAAAAAUGAUAUUUUUUAUAUAUAUAUUUUUUGGGCAAACCAAUGUCCUUUUAGGGCUUGUAAACAAAAAUAAAAAGAAUAAAAUAAGGAAAGACUAUAGGUUAUCCCCACGAACAACAUCUAUAAUAUAGGAAUUAAUAAUUUGGAAAAAAAAAAAUUGGCCUUAUAACAACAAUUUUUAUUUAAAUUCAAUAUUGGAUUAUAUUUUAUGAAAAGAUGAAAUAAUAAUAUAUGAAGUGAAUAAACAGUUCCAAAAUCAAAUCACAGCCCUUAAAAUUGUGACUUUUAGGGCCUUCUUUGACCUUAUUUGAAAAAUGAACUUCCAUAGAUUUGGUGUAGGUUGUAGAAGAAAAGUCAUUUCACGGCUAUUUGUGCAAUUGCUCAUUAUUUCAUUGGUCUUUUUGCAAUUAUUCAUAAUUUCAAGGAUGGUAAUGCAUUUGCUCAUAAUUUUAGAGAUUUUUUUGCAGUUAGUCAACAUUGUAAGGGUAUUUGUGUGAUUACUCAAAAUUUUAAGGGCAUUUGUGUAAUUACCCAUAAUUUGUGCAAAAGAACAAUGAGAACUCAAAUUUAAAAACAUGCAAAAAAUAUAUAAAGUCACUUAUUGUAAUUAUCCAAGUUUGUUUUGUUUUAUUUUAUUUUUUAAAUUUAGGUCGUGUUCAAUAAAUUACUAUUGUCUAGUUGAAUGCAUUAGAGAGUACCUCCACAAUAGCACUGUAUUCUUAGCAAAUCAACACUAAUAUAGGAAGGAAAAAUCAAUAGAGAAAGAAACAAGGGCAAAAUGGCUAAUCCACGUGAAAUUUGUUAUUGGUAGAUCUCAACACAAAAUUUGGGAGGAUAAAUUGAAGGAUUGAUAUUUUCAGAUUUUAAACGAUUUAUACAUGAGUCUUUCAAGUGUAAGGCAACCUUUAAACCAUUUGAGCAAGCAUGCCCUUAUUGUAUAUGAUGAACUACAUAUUUUAUAUUUUAUAUUUACACCUAAAUUUUUUAUAUAUUUUUUUUUAAAUAAAAUAUUAAAAAUACUAUUUUAAUAGAUUUAUUAAUUUUAAAUAUUUAUUUUCAAAUUCUAUUUAAUUUAUUCUUUAAAGCACAAACAUCAUGAAUUAAAUACAAAAAAUAAAUAAAAUUAUAAAUAUUUUUAAAUAGAAAAAUAAUUAUACAUAUAUUAUAAAAUAGAAAAAUUAUCAUUUUAGUAUUAAAUGUAUUUUCAAAUCUAACUAUUAUUAUAAAAUGCCAUAAUUAUAUUAUUCAUAUAUCAAUUAUAAUAUAUGUAUUAUUGUUUAUUUAUUAUUUUUGGAAUACUCUUCAACAUUUUAAUAAGUUUUGAUCAAUUUUUGUCUCACUAAUUUUUUUUUCACAUGUCAUUGAUAUUUCUUGAUAUAUUCGUGAAAGUCAAUACUUUCAUCCUUGGCAAUCAUUAGUGUAAUGAAUGAAUGAACAUUACUUCAAAACUAAAUAUGGAAAGAAAUAAAAAGGUAAGAGAGAGGAGCAUUAAAAAAUAUUGCAUUCUCUAAAGAUGAAAACUAAUGUAACAAGAAGACAUUCCUUACAGUUUUAUUAGGAAAAAAAAUGUUGUAAUCCCGUCAACAUGUAAAUUCAAAAACAUUUUUUUGGAAAGUUAUAGGUUUGAAAUAUCCAUGUUCUCAAAAAAUAAAAAAAAGAAGAAGAAAGAAGAAAAAGAAGAAGAAUUUUUCAAACAUGAUGUAAGUAACAAAAUUUUAUUUUAGUUAAAUAUUUUAAAAUAUUAAAAUAUCUCGAGGUAUUGAGUUAGAGAAAUAUCUUAAAUACACAAGAUUUGAUGUUGAUUUUCCUUAGAUAUUUGUUAGUCACUUUUGAAGUAUAUGAUUCCUAAUAAUUAAAUAUCUUUAUAUAGUGAAAAAUCAACCUUAGCUCUUCUUUGUGAUUGAUCAAGAGGGAGACUUCUUAAAUUUAACUCAUAAAGUAGACUUUGAUAUCUUUUGAAGAACCCUUUGUUAUGCUCAAAUCUUAUUAUCCACAUAUCUUGUUUGACUAAGAUCAUUGAAAUUGUUUCCUGAAGUGAGUCAGCACAAAAUUCUGAAUCUUUGGCUAAGUUUAAAUUACCAUAUAUUUUCCUAGAUUCAUUCCUUAAAUAUAAGUUGCUCACUUGCAACAUUUGGAAACACCCCCAAAAUGGAUACAAAGGCAAUCAUGAAUAAAAACAAAAAUCAAAAUAAAAAGAAAUCAUAGUGUACAAUGCUUCCACUUUCAAAAGAAAAAAAAAUGAUAUCAAAUUAAGAGGGAGCUUAAGUUGUGUUGUAUGUAGAUCAACGAGGCCAUGUUAAAUAAAAAUUUGAUGAUCUUAGAACAAAUUGACUAGAUGUGUUCUUUAAUUUGACCAAACGCAUGACUGGAUUUCUUCUGAGUGAUCAAUUUCUAAAUAUAAAAUUAGAUAGUAAGUCGUAUUUCCUUGAACACCAAUCCUUAUGUUUCUAUGUUGAUCCUCUUAUACACUGAUAGUUAUGUAUUAGUUCCUAAACUGAAUUAGGAUUAAUUUUCUUCUUUGGAGUUGAAACUUCAUUCUUUUUUUAUUGACUUAUAUUAUUUGGGAAUUGUACUUAGUGUAUUACUUGUCAAUCUAAUUUUCAAAGUUUAUACUAUAUGAGUCUACCCUGAGAUGCUUGUCAAUGUUGAUCUUAAAAUUCCAUAUUAAAUAUCACUUGGUCUUUCUUAAUUUAUCGUAAUUCAUAGUCUCUUAAAAGCUCGUUGCUUUGAACUUAGAAGUUCAAUUGUACAUCGAGUGCUCAAGCAUACUAACCAAUGCUCGAGAGCUCUUAUCCAACACUUCUAACGCUGAAGUGUUAUAAGUCCUUUCUAGCACCGCUUCAAGUGGUUAGACUGCUCUAGCGAUAUAAGUUGUAUCCAAUACCGCUUCUAGCGCUCACGCCGCUUGAGUACUAAUUUGCAUUGAGCGCUCAUAUAGGUUAUUUAAAGUCUUUCCAGUGCGUCAUAUGGGAAUUUUUUAAUAUUUCUAGUUAUCUUGAGCACUCUAGGUUCCUGUUCUUCAUUCGUUUGAGGUCAGUUUGCUUGUUUUUUCUCAUUUUCAUUUGCUUAGCAUUGUUUCAAACUUCAUCAACAUCAUUUCUAGUAGUUUAGGGUCUGUUUGGUUCCUGUUUUCAAGAACUGUUUUCUAUUCUUGAAAAUAAAAAACACAAAAAACUUGUUUGGGGAAGGAGGUGCAUUUUUGUUUUGUGUGUUUUUUGUGUUCUCAAAAAUCACCUUUUUGAGAUUGUUUUUUCACUAUUCAAAUAAUAUAUUAUUUUUUGUGUUUUCUCUUCUUUCUUUUUGUGUUUUCUUAGUUGUUUUUUGUGUUUCCACAAUGAUGAGCUCCACCCAACCACCACACCCCCACCCGCAAACCUUUUCUUCUUCCUUAAAUUAUUGAAAUUAAUAUACUUACAUAUGGUGACAAAUUCAUCAUUUGUUUAAGAAAAUUAUAACUGGUGUAAAAAUUUCAAAAUGAAAUAAUUUUUUUUAAUUUAAAUGAAUUGUGCAUAUGAAAAUUAUUUAUAUAUUUAUAAUAUCAAGUUAAUAGAAGAAAUCACUUUAUUAAUUAAAAAAAAUAACUUUCAAAUGUGUUUUUUGUUUUACUUAUUCUAAAAAACUUUUUUAUUAAUUCAAUCAAACAUGUUUUUUUUUUUUUUUGUUUUAGAACAAAAACUGUUUUCCAAAAUUCAGUUCCCGAACACAUUUUUUUUUUUUUUUUAAAACACAAAAACCUAUUAUAAAAAACUAUUCUAAAAAAUUGUUUUCCAAAACAGUUUUAAAAAACAACAACCAAACAUGCCCUUAGUUUUCUUUCAUUGUUUUCUCUUUUUUUUUUUAUGCCUUUUUGUAUUCUUUUAUUUUUUAUGGCUACUCAUCAUCAUCAACAUGAGGUGACCCCUCCUGGGUCACUAAAGCCCAUUUAGGGCAUUGCUCUCCAAGGUCCUUUCGAAUUAGAUGACCUUUUAGUGGGGUGUUUCCACUAUGAGAAGGUUUCUACUUAUUUCUAUGCUUCUUUUCAUGAUCACCGUAAUGAGGUCGAGUGUCCCAUUAACCUUAAAGCUGUCUAAUCAACUCAACCAACUUGAUUCUAACCUAAUCAACCCUAAUUUAACCCAACCAACUUGAGUUUAGCUUGACCAACCUGAAUUCAACUUGAGUUUAGAAAAAUGAGGUUGGGUUGAGCUUGAAUUAGGUAUCUCGAGUUAAAGGUUGACUUGAGUUGAGGUUAGGUUGAUUAUUUCUUAAUUUGAGUUGGCUAAGAUUGGUCAUCAAAUCGACCAUCUCACCCAAGUUGCAACCCUAGUUAUUAAUUUAUGCCCUAAAUCUUUAAAUUUUUAAAGGUUAAGGGAGACUAUUUUAAACUAUUUUAUUUACUUUAUUAUUAAAAUAUAAAAGGCUUAUUAGAUACAAACAUAGUGAACACCACCACCAACAAUUCCUAUUGAUUGAUUCAAACCUUAAAUAGUAUUGCAUAAUCUAGAAGCUGGGAUUUCCUCUAUCCCUGAAGGGAAAGUAAUAAUAAUACAUGGAAAAGGAGAAAAACAUCACAUCAAUCUUAUAUGGGAUGCUCAAAGAAGUGUCCUUACACAACUUGAUUUUCAGUAACAAGAACUUCAAACUUGAUCGGUGCCCAACAGUUAUCACCAAGCACAACCUACAAUCAUCACUGAAAUUUCAUUAGGUCACGACCAACAACCACAGCCAUAUCUCAAGUAGAACUGGACCAGGUGUAACUCAAGGCCAUCCAUCUGAUCAGUCUUAAACUUGGGACUUUUUCAAACUGAAUGAAUUAUUUUAAAUGGACUACUACUUAAAUGAUUGAUUAAAUUCUAAAUUUAGAUGUUUCAAAUUUAUUAAUGGGUCAAUUACAUUAUAGACUAUGUUUUUUUUAUUUAUGCAACAACUAUAUUGGAAGUGAUGCAAAUAUAAUACUUCAAAUUUUCCAAAAAUUUCAAAUGGUAGAAGAAGACCAUUUUGCACAGUUCAAAACUUUUUGUAUUAUUUAAAGAAGAUAAUCCUCCACGUGUAAAGCUAAGUAAUAUAACUAUACAUGUAACUGAUAAUUAAGUGGAUCUAAUAAGGUGAAUUGACCUUCAGUUUCCUGCUAUCUCAAAAAAAAAAAAAAAAUGAAAAAAUUGCAACCAGACAUGGGACAAUUCCCACACUGUGCCCAGGUCAAAUUAGUUAAAUUUUGAUUCAACCUACUCAAGAGGUAAUUUCAUACCAACUAAAAGAGCAUGAAAGUUCGCAAUAAACUCACCCGGGAUUUGGAAUGACAUUUUUGGUGGUCAUCUUAGUGCCUCGGAGCUGAAGCCUCCAGCAUGGGAAAAGUGGGAAAAGACACUGGGAACAUGUUCAACUAUCUGAUAAUUUUGGCCACCUAGUAGCAUACUAUUUGUGAAUUCUGUUGACAUAUCCCAAAAAUCAAUCCUUCUAAGGGUUUCGAGGAAGCGAAUGCCAGAGGGCACCUCCUCCAGUUGUGGGCUAGGCCCAAUUUCUAAAUGUUCGAGUAGAGGUGAUGCUCCAUCGUGUAUUUUCAGGGUUUUCAGUCCCUUCAUGUCAGUGAGUUGUAACCGUUUAAGUUUCUGAAAUCCUAACUCUGCAAAACACAAACAUUCACCGUCAUAUGCAUCGAAGAGGUAAACCUCCAAUAGAUUAGGCAGAGCUUGGGGGACUUCCAUUGGGUCAUAGCUUAACCUGGACAACGUUAAAGACACAUGAACUAGACUUCGAAGUGUUGAAAGCCAUUCCGGCAACUUGCUUAAGCAUCAUUGGAGAUAGAGAGUUCUAAGAUAUCUGGGUGGAUCAGAUAUAGUUUCUAACUUGAGAAUAUCAUCAUCCCUUGCACAUAUGCAUAAAGCUUCAAGGUACUUCAUAUUUGAAAUGGAGGCACAAAGACUUAGCCCGUCUUCUUCCAUAAGGUUUGUAAUGCCCAGCUUCCUCAACUGUUUCAGCUUUCCCAGCUCCGCAAUUAGGCCCUUCCCGUGAUUUGCCUCCACAUAACACAGCUUCUGCAACUCUACCAUACUGCCAAUCACCUCCCCUACAAGUACUCUAACAGAUGGGAGUUGACCUACAGAAUGGUAGUUAUAAGAAUAGGAUAGAAUAUGGUGCAGCUUUUGAAGCUUCUCGAUCUCAACUGGAAGCGCAUCCACAAGGGAAUGUUUCAGAUCCAAAGUUUGCAGGUUUUGUAACUUACCUAUGGACUUUGGAAGCAUCUUGACUUUUGUCCUCCUCAGACUUAAGUACCUCAAGUGGAACAGAUUUCCCAAAUCUUCUGGAACACUAUAUAGAGGAGCAUCUUCAAAAUCCAAUACUUUCAAAAGCUUAAAGUUGGUAAGGGAUGUACCUGUAAACAGCAUGGGCCCUAAAUCAAUGUCAAAAAGCAAAAUUGAACGAAUCUGUGAGUUUCUAUUAGUAGUCUCCACAACAUUAUCUUUACUUUUUUGAAUUGAUAUGAGCCGAAAUUUUCCAUCAAAGCUUGAGUCCUCUUCCCCCAAAGCACGACAAAAACUCAACUCCUCAGCCUUUCUGAGGAUAAUUUCACGCAUCAAAUCAUGGACUCUGCAACUUCUAAUUUUCCCUAGAUAAUCCACGUAAGACAAUUGAACCAAGCUUCUAUGAAUCAGUUCAGUCAAGUAUUCUUUGGCAACCUGUUCCAAUGUUAUCCCUUUCUUUCCUUUCACAAACCCUUCAGCUAUCCACAGUCGGAUGAAUCUUCCACAAUUAAUGGAGUAGUCCUCUGGAAAAAUGGCAAAGUACAAGAAACAAGACUUGAGGUAGUGAGGCAAGUCAUCAUAACUGAGGGACAGAAUUUUAGUGAUAUUUUCAAGAUGGGGAUUACUUUCUAAUUGGGAACCAAGACUGUCAUUAAAUUUCUGCCAUUCUAACUCAUUCUUCUCUUUGGUUGAUAAAGCACCGCCCAUUGCCACAAUUGCAAGCGGCAAUCCUUCACAUCUUUUAACAAUAGCAAAAUAAAAAAUUUUGAGGGGUUUUAGAAAACAAACGCUUUUGAACCUUUCAAAAUUAUUUUUAAACCUAUCAUAAGGUAUUAAUUUACAAUUUUUUUUUAAAGCAACACUUUUAAAAUUUAAUUGAAGUUAUCUUUUUAAAAGAUAGAUUUCAAUUCGAUUCCUCCUAACUAUCAUAGAUUUAAAAAUAUUUUUUGAAUUAUCAUAUUUUUUAAAAUUAUUAUAAUUUUUUGUAAAUCCAAAAAAAAAUUCUUGCCACUUUGAAAUUUUUAAUUCCAAUGGAUCCAUUUCCAAUUAGGUCCAAUUACAUGGUACAAUGACUUUUAUAUCGGACAUUGAUGUUAUAAACCCACCCUACAUUUCCAACUAGGUUCAAUUAUCCAACGUAUUCAGCUUAGAUAGCCAUUGACAUUAUAAAACCAACCCACAAUUCCAAUUAGGCCCAAUUAUCUUAUGAAAUGACUUUGGACAACCCAUUGACAUUAAAGAACCAACCCACAUUUCCAAUUAGGCCCAACUAUCUAUUAUAUUAAGCUUGGGCAGCCCAUUGACAUACUAAAACCAGCUCAUACCCUUAGUUGACUUUACUUGGACAUGUUAUUUGAUUUUCAAAAAAUUGAGAAGCAACUUCUUCUUUUGUGUAAUUGAUGAAUUGAGGUAUUCAAUAAUAAAGUUGAUAUUUCAAAUGCAAAUAGGCCUUGGUUCUACGACAAAUCAUACAACAAAUCUUUGAUUUCAAAGGAGACAUGUAAAGGAAGGAAAAUAACAAGAAAAGGAAAGGUGAAAAAAAAAACUUCAAAUUCGUUUAACUUAUGUUAAUUUUCUAUAUAAAGAUCAAAUAAUUUUGAAAUGUAUAAGUUUCUAAGUAAUUUUAAUUAUGUUGAUUUUCUUUUAUAGUUUUCACAACUAAACCAUUCCAAAGCAAAACUCUUCCUUUUAGUAUUCUAAACAAGAAAAAAUGGCUCUAGGUGGCCCACAAAAGUUAUGCCACAGGCCAGUGGAUCUAUAAAUGUGAACAAGAGAAAUUGUUUAUAAAAUCAAAUCAUUUUUCAUUCAAGGAUUGGUUAGUUGUAAAUGAAAGAACAUUGCAUGCUCAAAAAAUGGGUAUGUCAAAUGUCUGUUUUUAAUUUCUCACAUCUCAAUAGUAGUUAAUGCAUCUGCAAAUGACAUAACUAACCCAUAUAUGUUUUGGGUAUCAACUAUCUCUAUGAUUUCAUGAUUCAUAAUGCUUCAAUGGCAUUUCCAUAUAUUAGCGUGGGAGAUAUGGUGAAAACAUUGCACUUCUCAAAGGAGCAACAAAGAAAUAGUCCGGACCCAUCAACAUGGAGACAUGGUUUAGGUUAAAAACCUAAACAACCAUACAAACAUAGUGAACACCACCACCAACAAUUCCUAUUGAUUGAUUCAAACCUUAAAUAGUAUUGCAUAAUCUAGAAGCUGGGAUUUCCUCUAUCCCUGAAGGGAAAGUAAUAAUAAUACAUGGAAAAGGAGAAAAACAUCACAUCAAUCUUAUAUGGGAUGCUCAAAGAAGUGCCCUUACACAACUUGAUUUUCAGUAACAAGAACUUCAAACUUGAUCAGUGCCCAACAGUUAUCACCAAUCACAACCUACAAUCAUCACUGAAAUUUCAUUAGGUCAUGACCAACAACCACAGCCAUAUCUCAAGUAGAACUGGACCAGGUGUAACUCAAGGCCAUCCAUCUGAUCAGUCUUAAACUUGGGACUUUUUCAAACUGAAUGAAUUAUUUUAAAUGGACUGCUACUUAAAUGAUUGAUUAAAUUCUAAAGUUAGAUGUUUCAAAUUUAUUAAUGGGUCAAUUACAUUAUAGACUAUGUUCUUUGCCUUAUGCGACAACUAUAUUGGAAGUGAUGCAAAUAUAAUACUUUAAAUUUUCCAAAUAUUUCAAAUGAUAGAAGACCAUUUUGCACAGUUCAAAACUUUUUUGUAUUAUUUAAAGAAGAUUAUCCUCCACAUGUAAAUCUAAGUAAUAUAACUAUAUAAGUAACUGGUAAUUAGGUGGAUUUAAUUAGUUGAAUUGACCUUCAGUUACCUGCGAUCUCAACUCAAGCAAAAAAAGAAAGUGCAACCAGACAUGGGACAAUUCCCACACUGUGCCCAGCCAAAUUAGUUAAAUUUUGAUUCAACUUACUCAAAGAGGUAACUUCAUACCAACUAAAAGAGCAUGAAAGUUUGCAAUAAACUCACCCGGGAUUUGGAAUGACAUUUUUGGUGGUCAUCUUAGUGUCUUGGUGCUGUAGCCUCCAGAACGGAAAAAGUGGAAAAAGACAUUGGGGACAUGUUCAACUAUGUGAUAAUUUUGUCCAUGAUCUGGUACCAUACUAAAUGCGAAUUCUUCUGACAUGCCCCAAAACUCAAUACUUGUAAGGGUUUUGAGCAGGCGAAUGCCAGGUGGCACCUCCUCCAGUUGUGGGCUAGGCCCAAUUUCAAAAUGUUUGAGUAGAGGCAGUGCUCCAUCGCGUAUUUUCAGGGUUUUCAGUCCCUUCAUGUCUCUGAGUUGUAACCGUUCUAGUUUCUGAAAUCCUAAUUCCGAAAAACACAAACAUUCACCGUCGUAUGCAGUGUGGAGUUCAACCUCCAAUAGAUUAGGCAGAGCUUGGAGGACUUCCACUGGAUCAUAGCUUAACCUGGACCUUCUUAAACAUACACGAACUAGACUUCGAAGUGUGAGAAGCCAUUCCGGCAACUUGCUUAAGCAUCCUUGGAGAAAGAGAGUUCUAAGAUAUCUGGGUGGAUCAGAUAUAGUUUCUAACUUGAGAAUAUCAUCAUCCCUUGCACAUAUGCAUAACGCUUCAAGGUACUUCAUAUUUGAAAUGGAGGCAUAAAGACUUAGCCCGUCUUCUUCCAUAAGGUUUGUAAUGCCCAGCUUUCUCAACUGUUUCAGCUUUCCUAGCUCCGCAAUUAGGCCCUUCCCGUGAUUUGCCUCCACAUAACACAGCUUCUGCAACUCUACCAUACUGCCAAUCACCUCCCCUACAAGUAUUCCUCUAACAGA
rnacentral:lncRNA from 1 species